rnacentral:lncRNA from 1 species
AACUCAGUUCAUUAGAUCGGAUUGGAGGCUUAGGUGCCCUCUUCAAACCAGUUAGGAGCUGUCUAGUGAUUUUAGGGCAAACAUAAGGAAUUGAUGUGUUUUUCUUUUAAUGCAUGCUUGACUGCACUUGACUGAUUAGAAGAGCUUUAGUGUAUGUUAGGGUGUCGUUCCAGAUCUCCUGAAUUAGUACCUUUUGAUUCUGAGAUAGAGCGUUCUAUUAGGGCCCUUCGAGCUGAAAUCUGCACCUAUAGAACCAUAGAAUCUGCUCCACCUGUCAAGAUGGCUGAAGAACA